GGAAGUAGAAGUCGUAACAAGGUUUCCGUAGGUGAACCUGCGGAAGGAUCAUUAAGAGAAUGAGGAAUGAAUGUUUGCAAGCAAUUAGCUCGACCAGAGCUAAGGGUCGCGCAGCGACUGUAAUCUUAUCUUACUGGUGACUUACAACGUAACCCUAAUACAUGAGCACCUUGCCGCAAUGGAUCUCUCGGCUCUU
rnacentral:misc_RNA from 1 species